rnacentral:rRNA from 1 species
UACAGAGGUGGCAAGCGUUGUUCGGAAUUACUGGGCGUAAAGGGCGCGUAGGCGGUCUUGUAAGUCUUGUGUGAAAUCCCUCGGCUUAACUGAGGAACUGCACGGGAUACUGCGAGACUUGAGUUCGGGAGGAGGGAAGCGGGAAUUCCGGGUGUAGCGGGUGGAAAUGGCGUAGAUAAUCCGGAGGAACACCGGUGGCGAAGG